rnacentral:rRNA from 1 species
UGGGGAAUAUUGCGCAAUGGGCGAAAGCCUGACGCAGCAACGCCGCGUGAGUGAUGAAGGCCUUCGGGUCGUAAAGCUCUUUCGGCGGGGACGAAACGGUCCGUGACAACACCACGGACUAAUGACAGUACUCGCAGAAGAAGCACCGGCUAACUACGUGCCAGCAGCCGCGGUAAUACGUAGGGUGCAGGCGUUAAUCGGAAUUACUGGGCGUAAAGCGUGCGCAGGCGGCUCCUUAAGUCAGAUGUGAAAUCCCCGGGCUUAACCUGGGAACUGCGUUUGAAACUGAGGGGCUAGAGUGUGGAAGAGGGGGGUGGAAUUCCAGGUGUAGCAGUGAAAUGCGUAGAGAUCUGGAGGAACACCGAUGGCGAAGGCAGCCCCCUGGGCUAACACUGACGCUCAUGCACGAAAGCGUGGGGAGCAAACAGGAUUAGAUACCCCGGUAGUCCCUGAGCGGGCUGGCAAGGCGCAU